rnacentral:ncRNA from 2 species
UAUCUUCGCAGCAGUAUUGGUAACACAAUUUGUGUUUAAUAGGGAAUCCGGUGCCUCCGAAUGUUGAAACGGAGAAUUCCGGAGCUGUACCCGCAGCUGUAAUCUCAGUAAGGUUUUUGCAACCUCAGCCACUGUUCGUCAACCGACGGAUGGGAAGGCGGCAAAAACUUGAGUAAGCCAGAAGACCUGCCAGUGCGUAAUACAAUAU